GCAGUUAAUUACGUGCAGCUGAGAAGCAUAGGACUGACAUCAGUGUUCUCUUCCUCUGUAAUGUACUGAAGCCAAAAUUUGUCAGGGUCAAAACUUAAUGAUCCCCCAGUUACUGUGCAAGAGUGUGCUCCAAGAGUGAUAAUUUGGACAAAUGCAAAUAAGCUACAAUGCAGCAGAAGAAUGUUUCACCUUCCUGGAGUCCUCUCCCUUUUCUUACUGUUUCCUUAGUAGAUUGUUGGCUUGCCAGGCCAGAGACCGCUUUUAUCUUACGACUGAUGCAAAGGAAAGAACUUGUAUUACCAUUAAAGCUCCCUAAAAUGAGAUAAACUAAAUUAAACAUCUGGUGUCAUCAA